rnacentral:tRNA from 1 species
CCGAGCUGUAGCCCAGUUGGUUAGAGCGCUGCACCGGAAUCGCAGGGCCGUAGGUUCAAUUCCUACCAGAGGA